UCCCUGAUGGCUCAGACGGUAAAGCGUCUGCCUGCAAUGCGGGAGGCCCAGGUUCGAUCCCUGGGUUGGAAA
rnacentral:tRNA from 1 species